CAGUAUGGCCCAUAUUUUAUUGGUUGUUUUUCACAGCUCAGAUAUAUCAUGAAGUGUAUUUCUAUACCAUCAGAAGUCAUAGACCUGGAGGAAAUGGGGCCCCUGAAACCACUGUGUGAGCUGAACUACCUGCACUCAAAUGGCAGAGGCAGGUUUCUCCAAUUGGGCCGAACAGGAAAUUCAAACUGCAGGUUAUCACAGGUUUUCCUCACCAAGCAGAGAUCCGAGAACAGCCCGUGGUAACUCAGCAAAGUCUGAAACCCAAAGGCCCGCCUGUCAGCAGGUGAAAGCGGUCCGCCGAAACUGUCCUGCCCACCAACUCCCCUGUGCCCGGGAAUUCGAAAUCAAGGAGGAAACGAGACAGAAGGAAACAGGCGUCUCGCGCUCCCUGAGAAAUAAAGAGGAGCUUGGUGGUCGUUUAUCUUCCGUGUGCCGCAAAGCCCCGGCGGAGUCCCCAAACACAGAAGUCAACGUCACCCUGAUCCCCGCCCCGCCUUCCCUCCAAGGCUCUGGGAGGUCCUGAGGCCCCACCCGGCGGCUGAGCUUGGGACAUCGCUGGCGGCGUGAGCCCAUUGGUCACCUGGGCAAAGAGGUGAGCGGCUCCUCCAGUCCCUUCCUGGAAGGGGACGGGCGGGACGCCCGCGCGACCAGGGGCUUGGCGUGGGAACGCGGCGUGUCCCGCUGCAGGAGGCAGCUCGGGCGAGCGCCUGGGCAGGACGCACCAGAGAGCAAGGGGCCAUUAAGGCAAGAAGGAGAAAGUCACCUCUUUCGUGACUGGUGCCAGGCAAAAGACACAGAGCAAAGAUUAACUCAGUUGGUGGCGACCCGUAUUGUGAGCAUCUAUGACAGAUUCGUCCAAAAACAGAGGAGAAACUCCUGGGACCUGGAGGCAAAAUGGAGUGAUAAUAGUUACAUUUAAAUGACAACUUUAGAGAGACUUUAAAGCACACUGUUGGAGGAGAAAGGAAAUUGCAAAGCUUCCACUUUGUCUUUUGUUUCUGUAAAAAUUGCACUACAGGAAACGCUUCUUUUGGGUUAACGUGGGCACGGGUUACAGUACGCUGAAGCCGUGGAAACGCUCCAGGUCUGUCUCCAGAGUAUCAUCACUGAGCUGCAAGCCGCAAAGACUGAGCUGUUUGCUCACUUUGGGAGCAGAGAACUUUUCCUCACUCAGUUUUGGAUACACUUCAUUUCCUGGUAAGAUCUGUCUCUGCCUGGGUCAGGAGAGGACUCAGAACCAGGAAAAGAAGAGCUCAGGUAUUGUUAAUUUCAAUCUGUUUCGUUACAUACAUUUUCAGGUUUAAGUUUUUGGGAAUCCACUAUGCACUUAUCCUUUUAGAGUUGUGAUUCUUUUAAAUCGCUCUCAUGUGGGUAUUAUCCAGAACUUCUGUUUUCUAGCUGAACAACAGAAUUCCCUUCAUCCUACCAUUUGUUUCUUUGCUUAACGAAUGAUAAGGUGGAAAUGCUGUCUCUAAUCAUAUGUUUACUUGAAAUGUUUGUAAUCAGAUGGUUCUAAUGACAAAAGCAGUCAUGUGAUUAAUCCUAUAUUAAAUUUUACUUUGGGCUAAAUUCUAAUAAUAAUUCCAUUAUCUUUAUCCAUAUGAAGAUAAGCAGUCUGUUUUUUAGCAUUGUUUAUGGCUAAAGGAUGGUUGCGGGUAUAAUCCAAAAGAAACCAUUCUAUCCCAAGGAAUGCUGAGAUUUAUAAAUUAUGAAGGUCACUUUUCUUAGAAAAGCACAAUGAAAAUUUUAUUGCAGCUCUUGUAUAAUAGGAGUUUCAGUAGAAAAUUAGGUUUGGAACCCUGCGCUCACCCCACGUGUGAGUAAUACAUGUAAUUUUUCCAACAAGCCAAGGAUAUUUUUUUCCCUGAUGAUGCUUUCCCUACUCCCAUGGCAGACAGAGAAGGGGGGAGGAGGAAGGGGAGAAGCGGGAAGGAGGGGGAGGAACAACCAAGGAAAGGUACACAGGGAUGUUCUUGGCAAAGCAAAAGUAAGCAGCAGCAUGCCUUCCAGGGGUCAGUGUGGCCCAUUCCAGUGCAGGUGCAAGGCUCAAGUCCUCUGCUCUGGGAAGUUACUGUGGUCACGCUCAUUAUAUGGCAGGGAAGUGUGCAAUGUGUCUUUUUUGGCAAGGACUAGAGGACGUGUUAGAGAUUUAUUCACCCAUCCAGUGGAUUAUUACAGCUCUUAAGAUUGUUUUUGAAGAAGAUUUAAGAAAGCAAAAAACAGACCUUAUACAUGCAGGGAAUAAAAUGUGUUAGGAAAUUUAGUUUGAUCA
ensembl:lncRNA